rnacentral:rRNA from 1 species
UACGUAGGGUGCGAGCGUUAAUCGGAAUUACUGGGCGUAAAGCGUGCGCAGGCGGUUUUUGUAAGCCAGAUGUGAAAUCCCCGGGCUUAACCUGGGAACUGCGUUUGAAACUACAAGGCUAGAGUGUAGCAGAGGGGGGUGGAAUUCCACGUGUAGCAGUGAAAUGCGUAGAGAUGUGGAGGAACACCGAUGGCGAAGGCAGCCCCCUGGGUUAACACUGACGCUCAGGCACGAAAGCGUGGGGAGCAAACAGG